GUUGGUGGCCUUCAGUGGGUGGCUUAAGUUGGUGGCAUUUGGUUGCCUUUCCUGGGGAGAGGCGGCAGGUGCUCAGCUCUGCAGACGUGGGGGCAAGAGAAGGCCCAAGCUGCCUCGAGAAGAGCAGAGGUGCCCCAUGGGGACCAUGAUGACCGGUCGCAUGUGCCAAAGCCAGCCCCCGGCAGGGCCAGCGCAGGGUUUCUGCGGGGCCGUCCUGUGGCUCUGAUAUCUAUGAGUGGGUGGCCAGCAAAGGCACAGGCACCAGCAGAAAGGAGCAGAGAUGCCCAGAACAUGCUGUCCCCCAAUGCCAGCCCCAAGCGAGGCCAGCUUAGGGUGCGGUGGGCAGAGCCAUCCUGCAGCUCUGAGAUCCACGAAGUGGAGGUGGGAGUAGCGCCAGGCUCCACGGCGUUGGAGCUCUCACAACUUGAGCUCAAUUUUAUUCCGGAGCCAUGACCUGCAGCACAUUGGUGACCAGAAGACGCCCAAAGGCAUUGUGUGAUCAAAGCAAAAUAAAUAUGUUCUUGUUUCUGGAAUUACUAAAGCUUUGAAAAUGGACUUAUCGACCUCAAACCA
rnacentral:lncRNA from 1 species